UACGUAGGGAGCAAGCGUUGUCCGGAAUCAUUGGGCGUAAAGCGCGCGUAGGCGGCCCCGUAAGUCCGCUGUGAAAGUCAAAGGCUCAACCUUUGAAAGCCGGUGGAUACUGUGGGGCUAGAGUACGGAAGAGGCGAGUGGAAUUCCUGGUGUAGCGGUGGAAUGCGCAGAUAUCAGGAGGAACACCAAUGGCGAAGGCAGCACUCUGGGACGGUACUGACGCUGAGACGCGAAAGCGUGGGGAGCAAACAGG
rnacentral:rRNA from 1 species